rnacentral:lncRNA from 10 species
UGUAGACCGGAGCUGUUCCUAUUCGGCCAUCUUGGCUCCUAAAUGUGAGCUGACAUCCUAAGGAACAUUAUCUUUUGAGGGCACAAUCUUUCACUUGCAUCCUCUAUGGUAAUGCACCUAAAUCUGGAUCCAAGGCCCUCAAGGAAUUGGAAGAUGCAUACUUCGAGUGACUUUCUUCACUCAAUCCACUCAAGUGCUGAUCUCAUCCAGUAACAUCCUCAUUGACACACCCCAAAAUAAUGUUUUACCAGCUAUCUGGGCAUCCAUUAGCCCAGUCAGGAUGACACAUACAAUUAACCAUGGCAUGCAUCCGUGCACAUAUGUUGGUGUAGAUGAGUGGUUAGGAAACAAAAGUGUUGAAAAAUUUAUAUUGUGGAUAUUCUCUUACAUUUAGCACUAUUUUAUCUAAAAUGUUUGGAUAAUCAAUUGACUAAAAAAGAUAAAACUGGGAAAAAAUAAAUGAGCAUAUAAGAGAAAACAAUAAUGAAUCAAUUAUAUGUGAGUUUUUCAGAUGUCUCCCCUCAUCUUUCAUUUCCUUUUCAAAUGAAUAAAUUAAAAGCUUCCAAAAUAGCAGUCGAAUAAUUUUAGGUGUAAAUAAACUUGGAAGAUUUCUGCAGUUCCAUACAAUUGUUUUACUAAUACGUUAAAGGAUUCACAGUGAAAUAAUUAAGACUAAAUAACAAGGAUAAAAUUUUACCUUAAAGAACAUAUUUUUGGCCCAAGUACGAUGGGCCACAGCUCUUUACAAAUUAGAAUUUAAGAGUUAAAGUGCUAAAUUUUGU